AUUGAACGCUGGCGGCAUGCCUUACACAUGCAAGUCGAACGGCAGCACGGGAGCAAUCCUGGUGGCGAGUGGCGAACGGGUGAGUAAUGUAUCGGAACGUACCUUUCAGUGGGGGAUAACGUAGCGAAAGUUACGCUAACACCGCAUAUUCUGUGAGCAGGAAAGCAGGGGAUCGCAAGACCUUGCGCUGAUUGAGCGGCCGAUAUCAGAUUAGCUAGUUGGUGAGGUAAAGGCUCACCAAGGCGACGAUCUGUAGCGGGUCUGAGAGGAUGAUCCGCCACACUGGAACUGAGACACGGUCCAGACUCCUACGGGAGGCAGCAGUGGGGAAUUUUGGACAAUGGGGGCAACCCUGAUCCAGCCAUGCCGCGUGAGUGAAGAA
rnacentral:rRNA from 1 species